UACAGAGGUCCCGAGCGUUGUUCGGAUUUAUUGGGCGUAAAGGGUGCGUAGGCGGCGGAGUAAGUUGGGUGUGAAAUCCCGGGGCUUAACCUCGGAAUUGCAUUCAAUACUGCUUCGCUUGAGUACUGGAGAGGAGGCUGGAAUUUACGGUGUAGCAGUGAAAUGCGUAGAUAUCGAGAGGAACACCUGCGGCGAAGGCGGGUUGCUGGGCUGACACUGACGCUGAGGCGCGAAAGCUAGGGGAGCGAACGGG
rnacentral:rRNA from 1 species